rnacentral:misc_RNA from 1 species
GUGUAUAUGUUUAACCUAAUUAUUAAAAAACUAAUUAUUAUAAUCGCGCUGUGCAAGAAGACCUAUCCUAAACUAAUAAAUUUGAAAAAAGAGUGUUACUACUCACGGGUAUAAAAAUACCCGCGGUCACUAUGCUCGCAAAAAAAUUCUACGUAAUACAACCGAUCACCCGUGCCGAUUCGGACCUUUCAUCCUACGACAUGAUUGAGUGACCGGAGGAACAAAAAUGCAUGCGACUCACCGUUCGAAGCGGAGAAACAGAAGACGUACCAUGGAUGCUGCGGAUAAUCAGGGAGACUAACAUCAGGCAGGAACCGUGUAAGGUCCAGUGUUGGAAAUGGAGGUUGCGAACAAUCUGUUACAGAGCAAAACACGAUGAGUGAUUGCUGAUUAUUUAAAAAGUUGAUGAUAAUGAAAAAUGAAGGUUUAUUAACUUUAGUAAUAUUAGUAGUAAUAAAGAUUAAAAUUCUAAUAAACUUUGAUAAGUAUAAAAACUAAAACUCUAAUAUGAAAGUCUAAAAUAUAAAAAUCAAGAAUCUAAUGAUUUUUUAAAUAUGUUAGUCAUUUGUUCCAUAAUUCGGUAUUAAGACUUUAACUCUUAUUUUAUUUCAAUGAAAGAAUAACCUCAGAAAAUGCUAAACUCACAAAUUUUCAAUUGGAUUGUGUCUAUUAAUUGUUAAUCGUUAAAGAAAAAUAUACAGAAUAGACAUAAUUGAAGUACGAUAUGCAAAGUUACUUACAUUUUUGGCUUUUGAGCCACCAUUGGUGCAUUCCCAAAGAAGACAAGGAAGUUGAAGCUGUGAUAUGUCUAUAACAAAACAUAAAAUAUCAUUAAUAUCGUUAAUGCACAAUAAAAAACAUGGAACUUUAGCAAUUCAGUGAUUUUUGAUACGUAUCGGACAGUUUUAUUGCAAUUUAACGUUAAGACUUUAAGACUUUAUUUCACUUAAAGAGAACAUUUACAGCUUUUUAAGUUAUCAACCAUUCUUAUUUUAUAAUUAACAAUAUUUCAAACAAAAUACAAUAAAUAGGACAAGUUGAAAUACAAUAUAUAAAACUACUUACAUUCUUGAGUUCCAGGAGAGGCUUUAUCCUCUUGAGGAAGGCACUGACUCUAAUACCGAAAACGAAUAUUCGAAACAAAAAAAAAAAAAAAAAAAAAAAAAAA